rnacentral:tRNA from 1 species
ACCUGUGUGGCUCAGUCAGUUGAGCAUCUGACUUUAACUCAGAUCUUGAUCUCAGGAUCCUGGGAUUGAGCCCAGCAUCAGGUU